AGAGUUUGAUCAUGGCUCAGGACGAACGCUGGCGGCGUGCCUAAUACAUGCAAGUCGAGCGAGCUUGCCUAGAUGAUUUUAGUGCUUGCACUAAAUGAAACUAGAUACAAGCGAGCGGCGGACGGGUGAGUAACACGUGGGUAACCUGCCCAAGAGACUGGGAUAACACCUGGAAACAGAUGCUAAUACCGGAUAACAACACUAGACGCAUGUCUAGAGUUUGAAGGAUGGUUCUGCUAUCACUCUUGGAUGGACCUGCGGUGCAUUAGCUAGUUGGUAAGGUAACGGCUUACCAAGGCAAUGAUGCAUAGCCGAGUUGAGAGACUGAUCGGCCACAUUGGGACUGAGACACGGCCCAAACUCCUACGGGAGGCAGCAGUAGGGAAUCUUCCACAAUGGACGAAAGUCUGAUGGAGCAACGCCGCGUGAGUGAAGAAGGGUUUCGGCUCGUAAAGCUCUGUUGGUAGUGAAGAAAGAUAGAGGUAGUAACUGGCCUUUAUUUGACGGUAAUUACUUAGAAAGUCACGGCUAACUACGUGCCAGCAGCCGCGGUAAUACGUAGGUGGCAAGCGUUGUCCGGAUUUAUUGGGCGUAAAGCGAGUGCAGGCGGUUCAAUAAGUCUGAUGUGAAAGCCUUCGGCUCAACCGGAGAAUUGCAUCAGAAACUGUUGAACUUGAGUGCAGAAGAGGAGAGUGGAACUCCAUGUGUAGCGGUGGAAUGCGUAGAUAUAUGGAAGAACACCAGUGGCGAAGGCGGCUCUCUGGUCUGCAACUGACGCUGAGGCUCGAAAGCAUGGGUAGCGAACAGGAUUAGAUACCCUGGUAGUCCAUGCCGUAAACGAUGAGUGCUAAGUGUUGGGAGGUUUCCGCCCCUCAGUGCUGCAGCU
rnacentral:rRNA from 1 species